rnacentral:rRNA from 2 species
GGGCCGUGGCGGGCGUGCUAUACAUGCAAGUCGAGCGGACAGAUGGGAGCUUGCUCCCUGAUGUUAGCGGCGGACGGGUGAGUAACACGUGGGUAACCUGCCUGUAAGACUGGGAUAACUCCGGGAAACCGGGGCUAAUACCGGAUGGUUGUUUGAACCGCAUGGUUCAGACAUAAAAGGUGGCUUCGGCUACCACUUACAGAUGGACCCGCGGCGCAUUAGCUAGUUGGUGAGGUAACGGCUCACCAAGGCAACGAUGCGUAGCCGACCUGAGAGGGUGAUCGGCCACACUGGGACUGAGACACGGCCCAGACUCCUACGGGAGGCAGCAGUAGGGAAUCUUCCGCAAUGGACGAAAGUCUGACGGAGCAACGCCGCGUGAGUGAUGAAGGUUUUCGGAUCGUAAAGCUCUGUUGUUAGGGAAGAACAAGUGCCGUUCAAAUAGGGCGGCACCUUGACGGUACCUAACCAGAAAGCCACGGCUAACUACGUGCCAGCAGCCGCGGUAAUACGUAGGUGGCAAGCGUUGUCCGGAAUUAUUGGGCGUAAAGGGCUCGCAGGCGGUUUCUUAAGUCUGAUGUGAAAGCCCCCGGCUCAACCGGGGAGGGUCAUUGGAAACUGGGGAACUUGAGUGCAGAAGAGGAGAGUGGAAUUCCACGUGUAGCGGUGAAAUGCGUAGAGAUGUGGAGGAACACCAGUGGCGAAGGCGACUCUCUGGUCUGUAACUGACGCUGAGGAGCGAAAGCGUGGGGAGCGAACAGGAUUAGAUACCCUGGUAGUCCACGCCGUAAACGAUGAGUGCUAAGUGUUAGGGGGUUUCCGCCCCUUAGUGCUGCAGCUAACGCAUUAAGCACUCCGCCUGGGGAGUACGGUCGCAAGACUGAAACUCAAAGGAAUUGACGGGGGCCCGCACAAGCGGUGGAGCAUGUGGUUUAAUUCGGAAGCAACGCGAAGAACCUUACCAGGUCUUGACAUCCUCUGACAAUCCUAGAGAUAGGACGUCCCCUUCGGGGGCAGAGGGACAGUGGGUGCAUGGUUGUCGUCAGCUCGGUGUCGUGAGAUGUUGGGGUUAAGUCCGCAACGAGGCGCAACCCUGAUCUUAGUGCAGCAUCAGUGGCACCUCUAAGGUGACUGCCGUUGAACAACGGAGAGGUGGGGAUGACGUCAUCAUCAUGCCCUUAUGACUUGGGCUACCCUGCUACAUGACGAACUAGCAGGACCGCAAGUUAGCCAAUUCCACAGAUCU